GUUUGAUGGGAACGCAGGGAAGUCAAAUCUUCUGUGGAGUUACGUUCUAAAUUCAGCAUGGGAGGAACAGUUGUGAGCAUUCUCAAUUGUAACUGAAGAAGACCUGGAAUCUAAGCUGCUUGUUCAAGGUCAUUCUGCUCAUUAAAGGCAGAACUCAGAAUUCAAACCAGAUCAUCUCAUUCCCAGCUUAGCGCUUUUGCCAAAGGAUUCCACUAUUUAGAAGAAGGAAGUUGACACCGAAAUUUUAUGUAGCUUCAUUCAGGGGACUGUGGAGUGUUAAAAAAAAAAUGACAAGAAGAAGGAAGGAAAAGCAAAACCUGGCCACGUGCUUUAAGAUUCACCUUUGGGAGGAGGCAGAAAUUUAUUGUGAUCAUCUUGUCUGUUUCCAUGAAUUAGCAGCCGAUGUUUCUCAUUCCCACUUCCAUAGCAAAAUGGAAGAAAUGAGUUGUACCCAAAUUUUUCUGGAAUAAUGGCACAAAAUGAUUUGU
rnacentral:lncRNA from 1 species